rnacentral:miRNA from 17 species
AGUGGUUCUAAACAGUUCAACA